rnacentral:lncRNA from 1 species
UCUUUCUCCAAAAAUUCAAAAUCUAUUUUUCUUUCAAUGGUCACAGCCCCUGAAGAAAAUGGGAUCAACUUUGAAGGAGAUGGCAUUGGCUGUGCUGAGGGCUGAACUGGGGUGGAAGUGAAUCACACAGAAGCUGGUGACGAUGGUGGAGCUGGAGCAGUCGGAUGAGGAGGAGGUGGAGUGUGAGCUGCUGGAGGUAGAGGAACCACCAAAGGAGGGGGGAAGAUGAAGCAGAGGUGGUCGGACGAGGUGGCAGAAAGGUUUGAGAAGACUCAAGCCAAUCAUGACGGUGCUUCGUCCGAUGUUCGAACCUUCUCGGAGCAAUCUGCUUCCUUGGCACCAUGGAUCCAAGAUUCUCCCAGAAAUACAGUGGAUUAGGGUUCUAGGAGAGGGAUUCUAGGAUUUCUAGGGUUUAGAGGUA